AAUGGAACAAUAUUGUAGGCAAGGGAAUUCGGCAAAACGGAUCCGUAACUUAGGGAAAAGGAUUUGCUCUGAGGACUGGGCUCGGGGGUCCCGGCCCCGAACCCGUCGGCUGUCGGCGGAUUGCUUGAGCUGCUCACGUGGCAAGAGCGGGUCGCCGCAUGCCGGCCGGGGUCGGACCGGGAAUCGCCCCUUCGGGGGCUUUCCCCGAGCAUGAAACAGUCGACUCAGAACUGGUAUGGAGAAGGGGAAUCCGACUGUUUAAUUAAAACAAAGCAUUGCGAUGGUCCUCGCGGAUGCUGACGCAAUGUAACUUCUUCCCAGUGCUCUGAAUGUCAAAGUGAAGAAAUUCAACCAAGCGCGGGUAAACGGUGGGAGUAACUAUGACUAUCUUAAGGUAGCCAAAUGCCUCGUCAUCUAAUUAGUGACGCGCAUGAAUAGAUUAACGAGAUUCCCACUGUCCCUAGCUACUAUACAGUGAAACCACGGCCAAGGGAACGGGCUUGGCGGAAUCAGCGGGGAAAGAAGACCUUGUUGAGCUUGACUCUAGUCCGACUUUGUGAAAUGACUUGGUGGUGUAGGAUAAGUGGGAGCCCUCACGGGCGCAAGUGCAAUACCACUACUUUUAACGUUAUUUUACUUAUUCCGUGGGUCGGAAGCGGGGCAUGUCCCCUCCUUUUGGCUCCAAGGCCCGGUCUUACCCGGCCGAUCCGGGCGGAAGACAUUGUCAUGUGGGGAUUUUGGCUGGGGCGGCACAUCUGUUAAAAGAUAACGCAGGUGUCCUAAGAUGAGCUCGACGAGAACAGAAAUCUCGUGUGGAACAAAAGGGUAAAAGCGUGGCCUAUCGAUCCUUUAGAUCUUCGGAGUUUGAAGCUAGAGGUGUCAGGAAAGUUACCAUAGGGAUAACUGGCUUGUGGCAGCCAAGCAUUCAUAGCGACGUUACUUUUUGAUCCUUCGAUGUCGGCUCUUCCUAUCAUUGCGAAGCAGAAUUCACCAUGUGUUGGAUUGUUCACCCACCAAUAAGGAACGUGAGCUGGGUUUGGACCGUCGUGAGACAGGUUAGCUUUACCCUACUGAUGACAGUGUCGCGAUAGUAAUUCAACCUAGUACAAGUGGAACCGUUGAUUCACACAAUUGGUCAUCGCGCUUGGUUAAAAAGCCAGUGGCGCGAAGCUACCAUGUGCCGGAUUAUGACUGAACGCCACUAAGUCAGAAUCCAAGCUAGCAUGCGACGCCUGCGCCCGCCGCCCGCCCCGACCCACGUUAGGGGCACUUGCGCCCCCAAGGACCCAUGCCAUUGGCUAAGCCGGUCCGGCCGACGUGCCGCGGCCGGCCGCCUCGAAGCUCCCUUCCCAAAGGGCGGUGGGAUGAAUCCUUUGCAGACGACUUAAAUAUGCGAAGGGGCAUUGUAAGUGGCAGAGUGGCCUUGCUGCCACGAUCCACUGAGAUCCAACCCCAUGUUGCGCGGAUUC
rnacentral:ncRNA from 2 species